UACGUAGGGUGCAAGCGUUGUCCGGAAUUAUUGGGCGUAAAGAGCUCGUAGGCGGUUUGUCGCGUCUGCUGUGAAAUUUCGGGGCUCAACCCCGAACUUGCAGUGGGUACGGGCAGACUAGAGUGUGGUAGGGGAGACUGGAAUUCCUGGUGUAGCGGUGAAAUGCGCAGAUAUCAGGAGGAACACCGAGUGAAGGCGGUCUCUGGGCCAUACUGACGCUGAGGAAGCGAAAGCAUGGGGGAGCGAACAG
rnacentral:rRNA from 1 species